rnacentral:rRNA from 1 species
GACGAACGCUGGCGGCGUGCCUAAUACAUGCAAGUAGAACGCACAGUUUAUACCGUAGCUUGCUACACCAUAGACUGUGAGUUGCGAACGGGUGAGUAACGCGUAGGUAACCUGCCUGGUAGCGGGGGAUAACUAUUGGAAACGAUAGCUAAUACCGCAUAAUAUUAAUUAUUGCAUGAUAAUUAAUUGAAAGGUGCAAUUGCACCACUACCAGAUGGACCUGCGUUGUAUUAGCUAGUAGGUGAGGUAACGGCUCACCUAGGCGACGAUACAUAGCCGACCUGGGGGGGUGAUCGGCCACACUGGGACUGAGACACGGCCCAGACUCCUACGGGAGGCAGCAGGAGGGAAUCUUCGGCAAUGGACGAAAGUCUGACCGAGCAACGCCGCGGGAGUGAAGAAGGGUUUCGGAUCGUAAAGCUCUGUUGUAAGAGAAGAACGGGUGUGAGAGUGGAAAGUUCACACUGUGACGGUAUCUUACCAGAAAGGGACGGCUAACUACGUG